rfam:Schistosoma mansoni, Puerto Rico, WGS project CABG01000000 data, contig: 0083
AUCCAACUGACGAGUCCCAAAUAAGAAGAAACGCACAUCCUGGAU